GACGAACGCUGGCGGCGUGCUUAACACAUGCAAGUCGAACGGAAAGGCCUCUUUCGGGGGGUACUCGAGUGGCGAACGGGUGAGUAACACGUGAGUAACCUGCCCUUGACUUUGGGAUAACUUCAGGAAACUGGGGCUAAUACCGGAUAGGAGCUCCUGCUGCAUGGUGGGGGUUGGAAAGUUUCGGCGGUUGGGGAUGGACUCGCGGCCUAUCAGCUUGUUGGUGGGGUAGUGGCUUACCAAGGCUUUGACGGGUAGCCGGCCUGAGAGGGUGACCGGCCACAUUGGGACUGAGAUACGGCCCAGACUCCUACGGGAGGCAGCAGUGGGGAAUAUUGCACAAUGGGUGGAAGCCUGAUGCAGCAACGCCGGGUGCGGGAUGACGGCCUUCGGGUUGGAAACCGCUUUCGCUCAUGACGAAGCUUUGUGUGACGGUAGUGGGUAAAGAAGCACCGGCUAACUACGUG
rnacentral:rRNA from 1 species